rnacentral:lncRNA from 1 species
CAAGCAUUGUGUGGCUCCUGGCUGCCAGAGAGCAGAGUGUGGACAGCUUGGAGUGCUUUGGGUCUAAGCAGCCCCCUGUGAUUGGAAGCUCUCUGAAAAGGCCACACACGUGUUGAAGAUUCCUAAGACUGCAGAUGCUAAUUCCAGCUUGUGAAGAACUGGAGACUGAGAGCCAAGUGAUCUUCGAUGCUUAGACCUGUUAAUGGCCAGCCACUUCCUGUCCAUGUCUAUAUCUGAUCUGACAUCCUUUUUGACUAUUAGACUUUGGCUGACCCAGGGCUGGGGUGGAGGGGACCCACUGCAUGAGAAUCAGCUGCAGACUGCUUCCUACCUUUCAUCAGCUUGUCCUCCCUCAUCUUCUGGAACCUUGGCACCCUACAUCUGGGCAGCGACAUGGUGCCUGAGGCUAAGUGUGCAGGGUGACUCUGCUAACGUGUGCGGUUCCUCAACAAAAUGUGUCCUCCUUGACCACGAAGUUUAAUGUGGGCUUAUGUGAUAGCUAAAGCCUAAGAAUGCAAAAUCAGAAAUUGCUAGCCAGCCGGGCGUGGUGGCGCACGCCUUUAAUCCCAGCACUCGGAAAAAAACAAAAAAAAGGAAAAAAAAAGAAAUUGCUAGCCACCCUUAUGGUGUGGGCCGGAACUGUCAAGUGUCACUUCCACCAUACUUUCUUAAUUAAAGUGAAGUGAAGGGUGAGCCCACAUAACUGGAGGUACCACAUGAGGUUGUGGGUACCAGCAGAUGUGGUCUCGUGGGGUAAUCUUCCAGUGCUAGCUACUUCUUUAGGGAAGGCUGCCUACACACUGAAGUUGUAGCUAUGAGAUGUAGUCAUGGAGUUUAGAAAUGGUAGGAAAAUCCUGAGUGGUCCUAUUUUCUGAUCUUGCUACUUUUAGCAAAGUUCUACAAGAGAGAAAAAGAUGGGGAAAUCAAGCGGGAACUAUUUUUCCUGCUGUUCACCUUGCUGAGGGGAGGAGCCCUGCUGUAACCUAUAAUCUGAUGUCUGAGAGGCCUGGUGCUGUUCACCUUGCUGAGGGAGGAACGCUGUUGUAACCUAUAAUCUGAUGACUGAGAGGCCUGGAAUUUUGAGUUUUGCAAAGUUGAAAGAGCCGUGGCUUUGGCAUUGAACCAGGUCUAAGCAGUAAUAUCUGAGUGGCAGUAUUAGCAGGAGUUAGGACUGCUGACUUCUUUAAAAGAGCUGAGAGCGAGCCUGAGGCCAACGGAGGAGCCAAGGGCAGAGCUUUCCCACUGAGGCCUGGGGUUCCAGAUGGCCUGAGGAAAUCCCUUGAUACACUCAGGGAGUGGAAGGCAGCUAUGUUUACCCACUAUACCACCAAUGCAUGCUACAUUAGGGGGGUGGCUAACUAGUGAGCGGUCAGAGUCUGGCCUGGAGAGAUGGCUCAGCAAUUGGGAGCACUGGCUGCUCUUCCAGAGGAUCCAGGCUCAGUUCCCAGCACCCAGUUACAAUCUUCUGUAACUCUAGUCCCAGUAGAUCUGAUGCCCUCUUCUGAGAGACCUCCUUAACUGCCAGGCACAUAUGAGGUAUAAAUAUGUAUAUAAUGACAAAAUAUUAAUAUGCAUACAAUAAAAAAUAUCAAAAAGUCCUGAGGGCAAGACCAAGGGGAACCCAGUGCCUCCACUCAUCUGCCAUGAGGUGGCAUGGGUGUAAUGCCCCCUUGCCACCUGCAGCUCAGUGGACCUGGCCAAGGGGAAGGAGCACAGGUGAGCCAUCCCCAAGGGUGUGAGAAGAGGGGAACUGUGCCAACCCCUCUCUGGCUGUAGCACAGCUGGGAGUGAGAGUUGAUGGGAGAAUGCCUUCUCUGAGGAUUUUAGGGUCACAGCUCUUUUAGAUGAUACUCAACAAAACAGCUCUCUUAGAAGAUCUUCAGUGAAACAGCUGGUGCGCACACACUUUUAUUCCGGGUAGACAAGGACUGUCUAAGAACCCUGGAGGGUGGGAAGGAAUUUUCAGAGUGAAUGUAAAAUCAUUGGCUGGAACUUAAUGUACAGUGAAUGCCUCAUUGUACGGAGAAGCAUUCCAGGAAUCCCAGGUACUUGCUGGGCGGAAAGAGGAAGUUGAAUUUAAAGGUUUGCCAAGGGCUACGACUGGACCUUCCUCAGGUAGAAGAGCGGGAUUGAGCUCCCUAGAGAAGGGGAAGCCCUGCUGGGAAAGGGUAGUUUUUCAUUUUGCACUGAGCUCAGAGGCACUCCCAGACGUGGUAGAAUUUGACCUUAACUAUCAGGGUUUCCCACUACAGCUGGCUCUGGAGGCGUGGCUUCAGGUGAGCUGGCCAGAGGGCUUGAAAGCAGAAAUACUGAGCCUGCCUCCUACUGAUGGCAGCAUCGGGCAGCCUAGUUGGAGCAGUGCUGGAGAGCUUGCCUUGGUGGUGCUCAGAUAAAGGAGAGCCAGAGGGCUGACCAGCUCAGCUACCUACCACGCAGGCGCAGAUCCAGGGCUUUGCAUUGGCUCAUCCCAACGUCUAUGUCACCUGUGAACUGUUGGGGCUUGUGAAAGGACCAGUCCUGCUGAUCCAAAUGAUCUCCAUGACAUGUGGCAACAGCAGGAUAACUGAGCCAAGUCCCCGUGAGGAUUCAAUAUUGAUGGUGUCACAGAAGCCAGAGACGUCAAACCAGACCAAUGACUCAUUGCAAUGAACAUUUGCAAGUGAAGAUGUGUGGACAGAGGGACAUACUGUGGUACAUCCUGUAACAUACAGCAGCUUCCAUGACGGGAUGCUUUCUCUCUUUCAUUUUUUUUUUUAAAGCUAAAUGGUCUUUACCUCAGUUCCUGCCCUGACUUGCCUCAGUGACUGAAUCAUUACCUGGAAAUGUAAGAUGAAAUAAACCCU